GUGCCAGCCGCCGCGGUAAUACGUAGGGUGCGAGCGUUAAUCGGAAUUACUGGGCGUAAAGCGUGCGCAGGCGGUUCGUGAAGUCCGAUGUGAAAGCCCUGGGCUUAACCUGGGAACUGCAUUGGAAACUGGCGGGCUAGAGUGUGGCAGAGGGGGGUGGAAUUCCUGGUGUAGCAGUGAAAUGCGUAGAGAUCAGGAGGAACACCGAUGGCGAAGGCAGCCCCCUGGGCUAACACUGACGCUCAGGCACGAAAGCGUGGGGAGCAAACAGGAUUAGAUACCCUGGUAGUCCACGCCCUAAACGAUGACGACUGGUUGUUGGGGGAGUUGUCCUUCAGUAACGAAGCUAACGCGUGAAGUCGUCCGCCUGGGGAGUACGGUCGCAAGAUUAAA
rnacentral:rRNA from 1 species